rnacentral:rRNA from 1 species
AUUGAACGCUGGCGGCAGGCCUAACACAUGCAAGUCCAACGGUAGCACAGAGAGCUUGCUCUCGGGUGACGAGAGGCGGACGGCUGAGUAAGGUCUGGGAAACUGCCCGAUGGAGGGGGAUAACUAAUGGAAACGGUAACUAAUACCGCAUAACGUCGCAAGACCAAAGUGGGGGACCUUCUGCCCUCACACCACCGGAGGUGUCCAGAUGGGGUUAGCUAGUAGGUGGGGUAACGGCUCACCUAGGCGACGAUCCCUAGCUGGUCUGAGAGGAUGACCAGCCACACUGGAACUGAGACACGGUCCAGACUCCUACGGGAGGCAGCAGUGGGGAAUAUUGCACAAUGGGCGCAAGCCUGAUGCAGCCAUGCCGCGUGUACGAAGAAGGCCUUCGGGUUGUAAAGUACUUUCAGCGGGGAGGAAGGCGGUGAAGUUAACAGCUUCACCGAUUGACGUUACCCGCAGAAGAAGCACCGGCUAACUCCGUGCCAGCAGCCGCUGUAA